CCGCUCACAUUAUUAAACUCAUGUUGGGAGUACUUAUUCUCUGAGAACUGUUUCAGCAAGGUCACCUUACCUCUUUGUAUCCUGUGAUGGCAGAAAGAAAACUUUGACAAAUAGAGGACUCCAAACAUUUUUAUCUCCUUUAAUCUAUGUGAAGUUAGAGCUGCUGUUUUAUGAACGUUUCAGCUGCCUGAGAAACAGAGGAGUCAUGAGCUACUUGUAUUCUUAAUGGUAUCUUGAGUAUAUGGCUUACUAAAGAUCACCUGAGAUGGAGAGAGAUUCACAGGAUUUUGGAAAGAGAAUGAAGAGUUACUUCUUCUUCCUCAGGAAUACCUCAGGAAGGGAAAGAAUUACUUCUGUUCUGCAGCUGUGCCCACAUGUAAUGUAGUGUUUUUAAUGUUAAAAUGAAAAUUAAUGAUUCCUCCCUGAGAUUCCUUAAUCUGCUUGAAAGGUGGGAGGGUUCCCCUUCAGAUUUAUCUGAAACUGUCAAUGAUUUUGUAACACUGGGUUAGAACUUUUAUUAAACGCUUGUCAUAGCAGCAGUUACUUGCCAAAGGACAUUAUUUAAUAUGAGCUUCUGGAGGAUUGAGAGAAAUGUUAAGUCAGAAUGAUCCUGAACGAGUUAUCUAGUCUAUCAGAGCCAGAGGAUAGAAUGAUCAGCUAUGUCUAGAUAAUUUGUGACAGAUAUAGGUACCCUGUUCUGAAAAAAUACCAACAAACCAAAUGUUAUAGUUGGUGUGUUUUGUUUUGUUUUCCAUGUAGCAUAUUCCAAGGUUUACCUAUUUUCAAAAUUAACAAGUUUUCCCUAAAAUCUAACCCUUCUGCAAAAAAAGUUGAGUGUACAUUGUUUUAAUAAGGUAGAUAUAUGGCACAAUUGAUCACAGAUGUCUUACUGCUGGCAUUUGAACAGUCGUUAAUAUGCUGUUCAUGUUCUUGACCAAAACACCCACUGUUCUUUCAACACUGUCAUGAUGGCUUUAACUUAAACUAUUUUAGUUCUCUGUCUGUUCUUAAACUUUCUUGUUUGGACCUAGUUCUGUAAUACUGGGGGUUUAUCUAAGAAUAAGAUUAAAAAUUUGUCUAAGAGUAAAAUCGUACAACUUCUUCUUAAUAAACAUUGCCAACAUGAUUAUGAAAUGUUUAAU
rnacentral:lncRNA from 1 species